rnacentral:rRNA from 1 species
AUGGCGAGCGGCGCCAGGAAUGGCGGGGGAGGGCUGGGCUCCAGGACGACCGCGAAGAUGGACAGGCAGCAGGGCUCCACCGCCACGCCCAAGGCCCCCGCCGGGAAGCCCCGCCUCUCCGCGGCCGGCGGCGGCGCUUACCGGCGCACCAGCUCCGGCCCGCUCCCCGCCGCGGGCGCCGGCGGGGGGCGCAACUCGUCCGAAUCCGGAGUUUCUAGCAGAGUUAGAGUUGCUGUAAGGCUAAGGCCUCGGAAUGCAGAAGAGCAGGCGGCAGAUGCUGAUUUUGCUGACUGCGUUGAACUCCAGCCAGAGCUCAAAAGACUAAAGCUUCGUAAAAACAAUUGGGAGUCCGACACAUUUGAAUUCGAUGAAGUGCUUACAGAGUUUUCUUCACAGAAGAGAGUGUAUGAAGUUGUUGCUAAACCAGUUGUGGAGAGCGUUUUGGAGGGAUAUAAUGGUACAGUUAUGGCAUAUGGGCAGACUGGUACUGGCAAGACUUUUACACUUGGAAGGCUUGGUGAUGAAGAUACUGCUGCACGAGGAAUCAUGGUCCGCGCAAUGGAGGAUAUUCUUGCUGAUAUAACCCCUGAGACUGAUACAGUAUCACUAUCUUAUCUACAGUUGUAUAUGGAAAUGAUACAAGAUCUCCUUGAUCCUGUAAAUGAUAACAUAGCCAUUGUAGAAGACCCAAGAACAGGGGAUGUUUCGUUGCCUGGGGCCACUGUAGUUGAAGUUAGAGACCAGAAGAGUUUUAUGGACCUUUUAAGGAUUGGUGAAGCUCAUCGUGUUGCUGCAAACACAAAGUUGAAUACAGAGUCAUCUCGUAGUCAUGCAAUUCUCAUGGUAAAUGUCAGAAGGGCUGUAAAAGGUAGAAGUGAAAUGAAUGUUAGCAUGUCUGCUGAAAAUGGGCAUUCAUCUUCAAUGAUGGACUCUCUACGACCACCUAUUGUCAGGAAAAGCAAGCUUGUAGUUGUAGACCUGGCAGGAUCCGAGCGAAUAGACAAAUCUGGAAGCGAGGGUCAUACAUUAGAAGAGGCGAAGUCUAUUAACUUGUCCCUAAGUUCACUAGGAAAAUGCAUCAAUGCACUUGCUGAAAGCAGCGCACAUGUACCUGUUCGUGAUUCCAAGCUUACUAGGUUGCUUAAAGAUUCAUUUGGAGGCACUGCAAGAACAUCAUUGGUUGUGACGAUUGGUCCAUCUCCAAGACAUAGGGGGGAGACUACGAGUACAAUAAUGUUUGGACAAAGAGCAAUGAAGGUUCAGAACAUGGUGAAAUUAAAGGAAGAAUUUGACUACAAAAGUUUGUGUAGGAGACUUGAUAUUGAAUUGGACAAGUUAAUCGCAGAAAAUGAAAGGCAACGUAAAUAUUUUGAUGAUGAAAUUGAACGAAUAACAGCAGAAGCGCAAUACCGUGUUGCUGAGGCAGAAAAGGAAUGCAAAGUUUCUCUAGAGAAUGAGAAAAUGAAGUAUCAUCAAGAAUACUUGGACUCUAUAAAGAUACUAGAAGAGAAGUGGAAAGUACACCAACAGUCACCUAAGAAACAGAUUAAAGAGGAGUCUACAUCAAAUGGUGACGUGCAGGACUUACUGCAGAAUGAGAAAAUGUUACGCCAAUCUGCUGAAGAUGAGUCCAAUGACCUUAAGAAUCAAUUAUCACACUGGAAAAAGAUGGAGGCCACAGCUACCGCUGAAGUAGUGAGACUCCGGAGAAUGUUGGAUACUGAAGCUAGCCAAAAAGACAAACUCGAAGAAGAAAUAGCUGUUUUGAAAAGUCAGUUAAUGCAGUUAAGUCUGGAUGCUGAUGAGACAAGAAUGAGCCUUGACACAGGAGAUGGACCAGGAAAAAUAUUUCCUGGUUUAGAUUCUUUGAUGUCUCACUCUCGGAAUUCGCAGCCUAGAGAGCAGAGCAAUGGACCUAAGGCGCCAGUCGCGAAACUCUUUGAGCAAGUUGGGUUACAGAAGAUAUUGUCAUUGCUUGAGUCGGAAGAACCUGAUGUUCGUGUUCAUGCCGUAAAAGUUGUCGCGAAUCUGGCGGCUGAAGAGGCAAAUCAAGAAAAGAUUGUAGAAGCAGGUGGCCUCACUUCCCUCCUAAUGCUGCUUAGGAGCUCUGAGGAUGAGACCAUACGCAGAGUAGCGGCAGGAGCAAUUGCUAAUCUUGCAAUGAAUGAAACGAAUCAAGAUCUUAUAAUGGCUCAAGGUGGUGUAACCUUGUUGUCAAUGACAGCAUCUGAUGCGGAGGACCCACAAACUCUAAGAAUGGUGGCUGGAGCUAUCGCCAACCUGUGUGGCAAUGACAAACUGCAAACUCGUCUAAGAGGAGAAGGUGGAAUCAAAGCAUUGCUGGGAAUGGUUAAGUGUGGCCACCCUGAUGUCCUUGCUCAAAUUGCUCGUGGCAUUGCAAACUUUGCAAAAUGUGAAUCUAGAGCAGCUACUCAAGGAAACAAGGUGGGGAGAUCAUUAUUGGUCGAUGAUGGGGCACUUCCUUGGAUCGUAAAAAACGCAAAUAAUGAGGCUGCCCCAAUUAGGCGGCACAUCGAGCUUGCACUGUGCCAUUUGGCGCAACAUGAGGUAAAUGCCAAGGAUAUCGUGAGUGAAGGCGCGCUCUGGGAACUUGUUCGGAUCUCGAGGGAUUGCUCUCGGGAAGAUAUAAGGAUGCUAGCAUACCGCACGCUGACAUCCAGCCCAACUCUUCAGUCGGAGAUGAGAAGAUUGCGGAUAGAGUGUUGA